rnacentral:rRNA from 1 species
UGCAUAGGAAUUUGCCUUGAAGUGGGGGAUAGCCCGGAGAAAUCCGGAUUAAUACCGCAUAUGCUCUACGGAGCAAAGUGGGCCUCUGAUUUAAGCUCAUGCUUUGAGAUAAGCCUAUGUCGGAUUAGCUUGUUGGUGGGGUAAAAGCCUACCAAGGCGACGAUCCGUAGCUGGUUUGAGAGGAUGAUCAGCCACACUGGGACUGAGACACGGCCCAG